GACUUGGCAGAAUUAAUGUGAUUGAUUUAGGAUCAAUUUAUAAUAUAUUAUAUAUUAGUC
rnacentral:tRNA from 1 species